CUAAUUAUUUUUAGAAUCGGUAGGAGAAGAAAGUAGUGCAGAAAAAAUUACAAGUUCCUUAACUUGCAGACUUGCAUAAAAAAAAUUGUGCAGAUGUACUAAACUGAGCCUCACACUUGUUGAUAAGGAGUAUCUUUCCUACCAAAAAAGUUUGGCAAAUAGGUUGCCGCAGACAGACGCAUUUUGCCGGAAAACGAAUCUGACAUGCCACCUCGAGAUUUUGACCAAGGAAAGACAAGUUGAUGUGCUUUGAUUUGAGGGGUCACUCACUGCUGAACGAAAAUUAGGGACAUCGCUAUGAGAAGAAACGUUAACAUUGUCGCCUAUGGGAAAACAAUUAGUGGACUGUACCCAUAUUGGGAAGCCUAUAA